AUUGAACGCUGGCGGCAGGCCUAACACAUGCAAGUCGAGCGGAUGAGAGGAGCUUGCUUCUCGAUUCAGCGGCGGACGGGUGAGUAAUGCCUAGGAAUCUGCCUGGUAGUGGGGGACAACGUUUCGAAAGGAACGCUAAUACCGCAUACGUCUUACGGGAGAAGGCAGGGGACCGUCGGGCCUUGCGCUAUCAGAUGAGCCUAGGUCGGAUUAGCUAGUUGGUGAGGUAAUGGCUCACCAAGGCGACGAUCCGUAACUGGUCUGAGAGGAUGAUCAGUCACACUGGAACUGAGACACGGUCCAGACUCCUACGGGAGGCAGCAGUGGGGAAUAUUGGACAAUGGGCGAAAGCCUGAUCCAGCCAUGCCGCGUGUGUGAAGAAGGUCUUCGGAUUGUAAAGCACUUUAAGUUGGGAGGAAGGGUUGUAGAUUAAUACUCUGCAAUUUUGACGUUACCGACAGAAUAAGCACCGGCUAACUCUGUGCCAGCCGCCGCCGUAAAAC
rnacentral:rRNA from 1 species